rnacentral:rRNA from 1 species
GACGAACGCUGGCGGCGUGCUUAACACAUGCAAGUCGAACGGAAAGGCCCUGCUUUUGUGGGGUGCUCGAGUGGCGAACGGGUGAGUAACACGUGAGUAACCUGCCCUUGACUUUGGGAUAACUUCAGGAAACUGGGGCUAAUACCGGAUAGGAGCUCCUGCUGCAUGGUGGGGGUUGGAAAGUUUCGGCGGUUGGGGAUGGACUCGCGGCUUAUCAGCUUGUUGGUGGGGUAGUGGCUUACCAAGGCUUUGACGGGUAGCCGGCCUGGGAGGGUGACCGGACACGGUAGGACGGAGAUGCGGCCCGGACUGCACCGGGAGGCAGGAGUGCGGAGUGGAACAUAGGGGGCGGGAGCCUGACGCAGCCCCGCCGUGCGGGGGAUGACGGGCAGGGGGUAGGGUACCACUGCCGCCUUACACGGGGCGUGAAUGACGGUAAUGGGAAAAUAAGCACCGGCUAACUACGUG